UCCUGCAGUAUGCUUAAAACUUUCUCACUUGUCCUCGUAGAGUGACCUUGUAGAAGUACGAUGCGCUGUUGUAAUGGCAGUAGCAACCUGCUUCGAAUAACCUUUAGCCGUUAAGGAUUGAUGUAGAUGCGCCAAACAUGCAGAUGGAGCGUCAACAGGGACCAAUGUAGUUGGUGGGAGUGCGGAUGAACCAGUAGAUCGGGUCUACUGGCCACUGGCGGAAACGCGUAAGCAUUCAGGUCUUCCCACGGGAUGGCUUGAGCAUCGAGGUCCCAAG